CAGCGCCACGGUAAUACGUAGGAUGCAAGCGUUAAUCGGAAUUACUGGGCGUAAAGCGUGCGCAGGCGGUUUGUUAAGACAGAUGUGAAAUCCCCGGGCUCAACCUGGGAACUGCAUUUGUGACUGGCAAGCUAGAGUCUGGCAGAGGGGGGUGGAAUUCCGCGUGUAGCAGUGAAAUGCGUAGAUAUGCGGAGGGACACCGAUGGCGAAGGCAGUCCCCUGGGCCAACACUGACGCUCAUGCACGAAAGCGUGGGGAGCAAACAGGAUUAGAUACCCCCGUAGUCCCUGUCUCUUAUACA
rnacentral:rRNA from 1 species